UUAUCAUAUUCUUCUCUGUCAAUGAUGACACUGGUAAAACUUGUUCUUCCACAUUUACAUCUUUAACUUCAAAAUCUAAGAUAAACUCUCUAUCACCGAUGAGUGUACUAGUUGAAUCAUGAUUAAUUAAACUAGUUGAAUCAUGAUUAAUUAACACAUCCUUAAAACUUUAGAAUCUUUAAGCAUAAUAUCUUCUUCCAUUGGCUAAUUAUGACCUUUUUUAGCAUAAGAACGUUGUUUUUCGACAUUAAAAUCCUUUGAUGUAGAGAA
rnacentral:lncRNA from 1 species